GAUGAACGCUGGCGGCGUGCCUAAUACAUGCAAGUCGAGCGAACAGACGAGGAGCUUGCUUCUCUGACGUUAGCGGCGGACGGGUGAGUAACACGUGGAUAACCUACCUAUAAGACUGGGAUAACUUCGGGAAACCGGAGCUAAUACCGGAUAAUAUUUUGAACCGCAUGGUUCAAUAGUGAAAGACGGUCUUGCUGUCACUUAUAGAUGGAUCCGCGCUGCAUUAGCUAGUUGGUAAGGUAACGGCUUACCAAGGCAACGAUGCGUAGCCGACCUGAGAGGGUGAUCGGCCACACUGGAACUGAGACACGGUCCAGACUCCUACGGGAGGCAGCAGUAGGGAAUCUUCCGCAAUGGGCGAAAGCCUGACGGAGCAACGCCGCGUGAGUGAUGAAGGUCUUCGGAUCGUAAAACUCUGUUAUUAGGGAAGAACAGAUGUGUAAGUAACUGUGCACGUCUUGACGGUACCUAAUCAGAAAGCCACGGCUAACUACGUG
rnacentral:rRNA from 1 species